GAUGAAGAACGUAGCGAAAUGCGAUACUUGGUGUGAAUUGCAGAAUCCCGUGAAUCAUCGAGUUUUUGAACGCAAGUUGCGCCCGAAGCCUUUUGGCCGAGGGCACGUCUGCCUGGGUGUCACGCAACGUCGCCGUCGGCACAUCCUUCCCUUAGGGGAUCGUGAUGUAGCUGGGGGCGGAUUUUGGCCUCCCGUGCGCCUCAGCGCGCGCGGUUGGCCUAAAUUUCAGCUCACGGCGAGGAUCGCCACGACAAGCGGGGGUUUUUUGAACUAAGGACCUCGGGUGUUGUCUUGCGGCCUCGCGGAGAGAAGGAACCCCGUGCGCUCGCGCACCAUCUUAACGAGACCCCAGGUCAGUCGGGAACACCCACUGAAUUUAAGCAUAUCAAUAAGCGGAGGA
rnacentral:misc_RNA from 1 species